rnacentral:rRNA from 1 species
AGGUGAGCCUCGGAUCCAGGUAGGGAAUCCCGUA